rnacentral:tRNA from 1 species
GGAGGGGUGUCCGAGUGGUUUAAGGUGCCGCUCUCGAAAAGCGGUAGGGCGAUGAGCCCUCGUGGGUUCGAAUCCCACCCCCUCCGCC